GUUUUUUCCCCCGGUGGGUGUGUAAUGUUACCUUCUUCCUGGCCUUGUUUGUGUCCUAGUCCUCACAGAAUUUGAUAUAUUCUGUGAUGCAGUCCACCAUGCUGCUGAUGUCUUCCCCAUGAGGCUGACAGAGGGCCUCCCAGUCGGUGGACUCAAAGCAGUCCUGCAGGGCCUCCUGUGUCCACAUCCAUACAGGCCUUUUGGACACAGACUGCCGUUGGACAAGCGGGACGUAAUUUGGGCUUUUCCCUGGUUGUGCUGCUUCCAAGUGUGUUUUCAUAUCAAAGCUCUUAUCCAAUCACAUUUAAGCAUUCAUUUGUUGCUGGGCUCAAAGAAAUCUGCCUGGAGGCCUUCACAAUCACUUCUGCUGUCCUGCAGCAUAA